GGAUGAGAAAGUGAUAUGCUUGCAACAUAUGCCACCCCAGUGAUUGUCAGUGCUGAUUCAGCUGACACUGAUCUGAAUGGGUUGUCAGGAGCCCCAUUUGCAUCCCUUUGGUUCUUCCUGAGGCUGCUUGGCGAAGAGGAUGGCUUUCCCUGAAUAGAGAAAGACCAGUCUUUGGUCAAGAGUAUAGAAGUAGCUGUGCUCCCCAGCUAGAGUCUCAAGAAAUCAAAAUCUGUAACAAGUAUGUGCCUAAUAAAGUUCUAAAAAAAUUCACAAACCCAAGAGACAU
rnacentral:snRNA from 1 species